ensembl:lncRNA LINC00507 long intergenic non-protein coding RNA 507
UUUUAGCCUCCUGCUCGCCAAAGCAUCUUUGAAAAAUCCUAACCUCCAAGCCUUCGGGGAGACUGAUUUGAGUAAUAACUCUGUUCCCUGCAUGGCUGGUCUAGUGUCAAUUAAACUCUUUCUUUACUGCCAUACCAUAGUCUCAGCGAAUUGGUUUUGUCUGUGCAAUGGGCAGGAAGAACGUGUCUGGUGAGCAUCUCCACACAUUCAGAAAUUGUCCAUCUAAGACAAUGGAGUUAUUUUCACCCUCAACAAAUGCCUCAACUCUGUGACAUUUUAAGCAAAUCUUAACUUUGACUUAUGAAUUCAAGAAGGAAAAAAAAAAAGUAAGAAAAUGUUGAUUGUAAUAUUUCCUCUGAACGUCCUUCCCCUGGGGACAGGCUCCCUUGCUGUUGUGUGGUCACUGUUCCCAUUAACCUAACGAAAUCUACACUUGCAAAUGAAGUCCUGGGGUCCACACUAAAUGUUCACAGUCUGGCCACAUGCUAAUAUUCCAUGUGCUAGCCCAUAUCUUUAAAUAGACUCAUGGAAAUGUGUUAAAUGAUAUAACAGAAUAAAAAUCAAGCUUAACUUAAAGAUGAGUCUUUUUUUUUCUAUAUGAGGAAAUAAAGCAACUGAACAUUUCUUUGCACUUUAUGUUAAAUUAAAUGCUAACAUGUACAGAAAAAAGAAAAAAUGCACUCUGAUGAUGAAGGGACUGAGUCAAAUUCACAACCAGGGUCUUUUUUUUUUUUUUUUUGAGACAGAGUCUCACUCUGUCGCCCAGGCUGGAGUGCAGCGGUGUGAUCUCGGCUCACUGAAACCUCUGCCUCCCGGGUUCAAGCGAUUCUCCUGCCUCAGCCUCCCGAGUAGGUGGGGCUAUAGGCACGUGCCUGUAGUACAUGCAGUAUAGUACUGGCAUGCCUGGCUAUUUUUUGUAUUUUUAGUAGAGACAGGGUUUCACCGUGUUAGCCAGGAUGGUCUCGAUCUCCAGCCAGGGUCGUUUUAGUGAAUGAGAACUGUGAAUCGGAACCCACAAAAAACAUUUUUAGCAAUCAGUUGGCUUUAUUUUAUUUGAAGAUAAUCUCAGCCAUUUGCUUUGCAUUGGAAUUCAUUUUGUUUUGAUCUGUUUUGCUAACAAAUCAGGCAUUCAGUUUUGCGCACCACAGGGGCAGGCAGCAUACGUGUUUUCUAAACCAGUGUCUACCCAUUGCUUUGCAGAACACCAGACAUGGGUGCUCCAAUCCACGUAGUGUUGAGGCAGUGAAGUUUGUGUUCCAGGAACUUCAGAACUCCUGAAUGUAUUGGUGUUGAUAAAAGGUGAUGAGAUGAAGUAGAAUGACCAUAAACUUAGAGGUAGACAUCACCUUGUGACUCAACAGCAGCCAAUAAGAUGGAAAUAAAGGCCAUGAAGUUAUCGGAUGGCAUCUACAAGGAAUACUUAGAUGAGGAGGUGACUCUGGUAGCAAUUGUUCUUUUGUCUUUCUCACCUUCCUUCUUGUCCUGUCUGGGAUGCUGAAGUGAUGGCUGGUAUACAGAUGCCCUGUUGUGAUGUUGAGAUAAACAUGAGAAUAAAAGUCGGCGAUUACAGAUGGCAGAGAAGAGAGAGAAAGAUAGGAUGUAGGUGGAUAUUGACGGAACUAAGUUUCUAUUGCACAAGUUCUACCACCAACCUCUGGACUUCAUGAUAUGUGAGGGAGAAAUAAACUCCUAUUUUAGAAGAGAUCUAUGUUACCUGCAACUGAACGGAAUGCUUAAUUGGCACAUCCUAUGUGCUCCAAACCUUCCUUAAUUUCUGUGUGUAAGGCAUACUUAGUCUUUACCCAUUAUUCUGUUCACAUUCAUUCACUUGAUCAGCCUCCCAACUCUAUGGUAAAGAGUUUACUACAGUUUACUCUAUUAGUAAGGGAGAUUCUGGAGCAAGCCCCACAAAUCAUAGAUUGAAUACCCAUUCAUUAAGAGAGAGAUUUAAAGAUACUUCUAUCCAAACACAUUUUAAAUUUCCAGCACCUUUGAGGUGGUGGAGGUUCAUGGUGGUUGAUAGGGUUUAAAUGACUUGUGAUUCAAGCUCCAUAUUACAAUGUAACAGUGCAAAAGUUCAUUUUUUUAAAUUUAUUUUACUUUAAGUUCUGGUAUACAUGUGUAGAACAUGCGGGUUUGUUACAUAGGUAUACAUGUGCCAUGGUGGUUUGCUGCACCUAUCAAACCGUCACCUAGGUUUUAAGAACCACAUGCAUUAGGUAUUUGACCUAAUGCUCUCCCUCAUGUUGCCCCCCAACUCCCUGACAGGGCCCAGUGUGUGAUGUUCCC